rnacentral:rRNA from 1 species
CGUAGGGUGCGAGCGUUAAUCGGAAUUACUGGGCGUAAAGCGUGCGCAGGCGGUUUUGUAAGCCAGAUGUGAAAUCCCCGGGCUCAACCUGGGAAUGGCAUUUGGGACUGCAAGGCUUGAGUGCGGCAGAGGAGACUGGAAUUCCUGGUGUAGCAGUGAAAUGCGUAGAUAUCAGGAGGAAUACCGAUGGCGAAGGCAGGUCUCUGGGCUGACACUGACGCUCAUGCACGAAAGCGUGGGGAGCAAACAGGAUUAGAUACCCUGGUAGUCCACGCCCUAACGAUGUCGACUGGUUGUUGGGGGUUUGACACUCUCAGUAACGAAGCUAACGCGUGAAGUCGACCGCCUGGGGAGUACGGCCGCAAGGUUA